rnacentral:rRNA from 1 species
CCAUGCCUACAACAUAGCGUUAAUGCACUGAAUCCCAUUAGAACUCCACAGUUAAGCACGCUCGAGCUAGAGUAGUAUUGGGAUGGGUGACCACUCGGGAAGUCCUACUAUUUUACAUGCC